rnacentral:rRNA from 1 species
AGUGAACGCUGGCGGUAGGCCUAACACAUGCGAGUCGAACGGCAGCACAGUAAGAGCUUGCUCUUACGGGUGGCGAGUGGCGGACGGGUGAGGAAUACAUCGGAAUCUACUUUUUCGUGGGGGAUAACGUAGGGAAACUUACGCUAAUACCGCAUACGACCUACGGGUGAAAGCAGGGGAUCUUCGGACCUUGCGCGAUUGAAUGAGCCGAUGUCGGAUUAGCUAGUUGGCGAGGUAAAGGCUCACCAAGGCGACGAUCCGUAGCUGAUCUGAGAGGAUGAACGGCAGCAGUGGAAAUGAGAGACGGACGGGACUACGCCGGGAGGCAGCAGUGGGGAGUAGUGAGCAAGGGGCGAAAUGCUGAAGGAGCAAUGACGCGUGAAGGAAGAAGGUCUUCGGAUCCUAAGACUCUGUGAUUAUGGAAGAAGACAUGGGUCCGUAAAUGUGCACAUCAUGACGGUACAUAAUAAGAAGGCGACGGCUCGCUACGUG